GCCGGGGUGGCGGAACAGGUAGACGCAGUGGACUCAAAAUCCACCGGUAUUUGGUACUGUGCGGGUUCGAGUCCCGCCCCCGGCACCA
rnacentral:tRNA from 1 species